rnacentral:tRNA from 7 species
GAUAGCUCAGUCGGUAGAGCAGAGGACUGAAAAUC